UACGGAGGGGACUAGCGUUGUUCGGAAUUACUGGGCGUAAAGCGCACGUAGGCGGAUUUGUAAGUCAGGGGUGAAAUCCCGGGGCUCAACCUCGGAACUGCCUUUGAUACUGCGAAUCUCGAGUCCGGAAGAGGUGAGUGGAAUUCCUAGUGUAGAGGUGAAAUUCGUAGAUAUUAGGAAGAACACCUAUGGCGAAGGCAGCUCUCUGGGACGGUACUGACGCUGAGACGCGAAAGCGUGGGGAGCGAACAGG
rnacentral:rRNA from 1 species